rnacentral:lncRNA from 1 species
GCUUGGUUUUUUGUCCUUGCGAUAGUUUGCUGAGAAUGAUGGUUUCCAGCUUCAUCCAUAUCCCUACGAGCUGAUGGGUGCUGCACACCAACAUGACACAUGUAUACAUAUAUAACUAACCUGCACGUUCUGCACAUGUUACAUACCAAAUGUAAACCCUGGUUAUCUCUGAGCUUAUGUGAAUUUUUUUACCUUUUACUCAUUUGUAUUUCCUAGUUUUUAAAAGAAUAACUGUGGGUUAACUAAGCUGAAAUGAUUAAAGACAGAAAGUGUUUAGAAUAAUUGAUAUGUUAUAAAGUAUUCAUAAUUAAUAAUUAUUAUAAAUUAACUUCAUAAAUAACAUUUUGGCACAAAAGAGUUGGCAAAUGAUCAGCAGAUUUGACAAUUCUUUAAAAAUGAACAUUGUAGCAAAUGAAUCUGUUGUGUGUAGCAUGUAAUUACAGUGCUGUGGAUAAGGUGCUAAGCUAUCAAAAGGAAAAGUAUGCUCUAAAUUGGCCUCCUGGAGCAUGAGGGUUGUGAGAA